UAAUUCAAAUAUUUAAAUCAGUUGUCUUCCUCAAAAUUGAAAGGGGACGAUGAAGCAAUAUUUGCGAGAAGGAGGGAAUCUAAUUUCAUUGGUCCUCCAACUCACAGCUCAGAGACUUUUUUAAAAUUCAGGAUAAAUGGAGUUAUCCCUGAGUUAAUCUGCCUGAGAACAGGUUAGUUCUGAAGGAUUCAUGGCCAUUGGAAAACGUACCUACCUGGCUAAAAAGGUCAAGAGGAUAGAAACCUACCUGUUGCAGGAGAGGAAGUGCUGGAACACGUCACAUCUGGACAGGACCGGGUGACUAGUCAUGUGAUUCAUCCACCAUAUCAACCCUUUCCUCCUUUUAGAGAUGAAGUCCUCCUCAAACCGCCCCGCGGCCUGUUUCUCUGGGAUGUGGGGCACCGAGAUGACAGGGAACUUCUCCACCAGCCUGGCGUAGAGCCAGUCAAAGUGUUUAUACCUUCUGUUGACCUGGGUCUGUGUGUGGGUGGGCGUCAGCUUGUAGGCAAUGUAACUCUUCAUCCCUUUGAACUUGGUCUGCUUGGUGGGGUCGUCUAUGGUACAGGCGAAGGGGUAUGGGUUUUCCUGCCAUUCUGGACCGUAUUGUCCCGUUACAACACAGAUCUUAUCCCCAUCUUUCACAAACCCAGCUGCCUCACCUAACACGAACGCUUCACCUCCUGAUUUCACAAAUGUUGAAAACCUAUUGAGGUUUCUACUGACCGUGGCAGAGCUCUUGGCUUGUGGAGCGUUGCCACUUCUGGACAUAGAAGAUGUUGACACGCUAUAUGUAGACGAGCCAUUGCCGUCAAAAUCCCCUUGGUGAAAACUACCACCAACAACUACGGGCUCGUCAGCCACUGUCGAGGUGUCAUCCCAGUCUUCAUCCCAGUCUUCAUCACUGCCCUGGCUGGCUUGGUAACCGUGCUGCUGCUGCUGCUCUGGGGCAAGCGGCGAGGACGCUGUAAACCCAGACGAUAUUAUUGAUGUUUUGGACAAGUUUUCAAUUUGAUUUAAUGUUUUAUUCGAGGCGUCCCCGAAACCUCCGGUUGGAAUAUUGGCGUAUCGGGAUCCCCGGUACCAGGAAUGGUGGGAGGGACAAUCUGAAAGUAUUUAUCUUUGUAUACAAGAGCAGCGUCCAGGCCUCCAGAAUACUCCCCCUAUCACCUGCUGUACGGACGGGAGCCGCAACUGUUUACUGAGUUGUCGAACAAGAUCAGAAUGCCUUCGAGGACCACCUUCAAGCAGGGACUGAGGAGGUUUUUCACCAGGUGAGACUGAACAUGAACAAGGAGAAACAGAAGGAGAACCACCGGACCAGGUGAACAUCCUGGCUAAUAACUUGGAAGAAGGACGAAAGGAAGGCGAGACCUGAGAAACCUUGUUGCUCUUUCGCUCCUAGCUGGGGUCACCAUCCAUUAAGGACCUAGUGAUUCUGCCCAACACCCAGACAUGGAUCCACCUGAUGUCCUCCAUUUCCUGUUCUCCAGGACCUAGUGGUUCUGCCCAACAUCCAGAC